UUGCAUUUUACUUUCUAGGCUUGUUUGGUUCUUUGACUGCUAUCAGCUGAUGCGGUUUAGAUUAGACAUCUUCUAACAAGUGAACAUUGAAUUGAGUUUGCAUAUGUAAAUAACUCAGUUGCUUUUAACACUGUAGGUAGAUGUAACAUGUCUUGACAUAAAAGAGAUUCCUUACAUAAAAUCAAACAUUAUAACUCUUUUUUCUCUCUCCCCCUCUCUGUUUCACGUCCUUCUUCCUUCCCAAGCCGUCUAUAACAAACAUCCAAACAUUCCUAUUUCAUCAUCAUGCCAUCUCGAAUGGUAAUAGAGGCGACUUCACGGCACCCAUUGAAAUUGGCAUCACUAUCGACACUCAGCUAUUUUAUGUUUACAAGCGGGGCCAAUUUCUAACUCCAAUCGUCCCCCACAGUCGACAACGAAAUGAGAUUUUUUGUACUGGGAUUUUGAAAAGGCUGGUGUACUGUGUCAACGGAAACACUUGCCACCGUCAACCCCUCCAAUGUCUGCAACAAAGUAAUUGUCGUUUGAACCACUGCAGCCCUCUGGCUUCUGCUUGAGCGUGCUAAAUCAAAAGGGAUGCCAUUUGAGUGCAUUACGCUUUGGUCAAACUGAUCCUCUGCUCGUUUGCACGAAACUUUAUUUCCAAUCUCUCAACUCAUAGGUGCUACUGUAAACCAGGUCUAGACGAUAGUGCCCCCAUUUUUUUUUUCUUUCUAGCAAUUUUUCCUAUAUAAUUCCACCAUGCCGAAAUCAAGAUGCCCCACCAGCAUCUUACCUCGGAAGCAAAGCUCCUCUAUAGUCAUGCUUCACUCCCGAAGUCUUACCAUCAAGAGACCAACAAUCACGACACCUAGGACGUGCUCUUACCGAGUAAGCAAUGAUAUCAACUCAAUCUUGUUUCAUUUCACUGUUCAAUGUUUCAUAAGAAUUUUGUCAAACAUGUGGAGUGCAUGUAGAGUGCAUCAUUAGUAUCAUAUCUUGAUCAAGGACAUCAUUCGGAUUUGCUCCUCCUUCUAAAUGAUGAUUUGCCUCUAAUCUAGUGUAAAAUCUCAAUCUGUCCAUGUCUUAAUUUGGUACUACAUAAUAGGUUUUGUGAUGCAUGAAUUUAUUUUCAACACCAUAGUCAAUAUCAAGCUGGUUAUAGAGCCAUUUUCUUGAAUGUAUGAGAUUCAUGAAUUAGAUAACAACUGCUUAAGGAAGUCCAUUGGAGAACCAUAUAUUUGAACUUGGUCAACAGAGAGAUCUUGUAAGGUAGAUUCGAAUUUCUGAAUGCUAUUUCAGGUGAAACUGGUGGCUGGAAAUGAUUGUUAGGAUCCUUUUGAUCAUUUUCUUCAUCACUUGAAAAUAAUUUGCUUUGAUUGAAUUUCACUCAUCGCAUUUAAAUUAAUAGGGAAGCUUGUGUCCAUAUUGAUUGAAUUGAUGUGUACCUUCUGCGCUUGUGAAAUGUUGCAUUGGGCUAUGAUAAGAUCAAUGGCACGAUUAUCUUUAGUAACCUGUUAUGGAAAAUAGUUUAGAUAUUUUUUCUCAAUAUAAUAGGAAUCAUGAAAAAAUCAUUUUUAGCAAAUAAACAAAGAAAAGGCCAAACCAUAAUGCUCAUGCGAAAGUAGGAUGAAAAGUAUCCUUGUAUUUCUUAAGUUCAUUAUGAAGAAAGGUAAGAAUGGUAUUAAUUAAGAAACAUCAUACUUGUUUAUUAGCAAACAACUCAAUAAUUACUCCUGCCAAUGGAAUCAAAACCCUAGUACCAAAUGUUUCCUGCAAUUGUGAACGGUACAAAAACCCUUUUUUCCUAUUGGAUGUUCUUAAUGAAGAAGAAACAAAGAAUAUAAAAGCUAACCACUUUUCAUUCUAAAGUGUUUCUUUUUAUAUUUGGAUCCAAGUUGCAUGUUAAACUAGUAGGUGAACUGCAACCUUUGCAUGAGUGAGAGUUUAUAAUUUACUUUCUUAUUUGGUAAUUGUUAUCUAAUUCUUUUUUGGUAAUUGACAAUAAUAUUUACUUUCUUAUUUGUUAUGUUUCUGGCAACCAUACUUCCUACGCUCAUCUGGUGGCUCCUUGUACAAGCUAGUAUAUGAUGCGUAUCAAUACGUUUUCAUAUGGCUUGAAGUGCAUUGUCUAUUGUUGGGAUUGUCUAUUAUUUGUAUUGUCAUACUCGCCCAUUAGCAAAAUACCAUGGAUGAUAUAGAGAUUCUACGUGAUCGUGACCUUUGGGUUGGCAGAGAUGCUGGUUGAUAUGUUGUACCAAGAAACAUGGAGGGCAAAUUGGUGGAGUCCAAAAUUACAAACCAUGACAGUCUAACUUGCCACGCACCUCACUGAACUUGGUAUUAAGCCAGUUGAUUCAUCAUAAGGGAAAAAUCGCACGUCUUAAGAACACACUAUGCUAGUUUAUGGAUUUAAUGGGCCAAACGGGCAAGGUUUGGAAUCCCAUCACAAAAACUGUAAUUGAUACGAAAGAACAUUGGGCAAAUGCUUGUCGGGUCCGACUGCAAUGAAAAAAGUUCAAGAUUUACGGUUGUCAAAACUACAAUAUCCUAUGUGCAAGUUUUGGUCAGUCGGUUGUCACAUGAGUGCUGGAUUAUGUCUCAACGCAAGUACCCCUAUAAAGGAGGAGGAGCGGCUGGAGGAUGAAUUGAGAGCCCUUGACCUUGUGUUGGGCACAAUACUAGCACUACCACAAACUCGACCAUUGAUUUGGAUGACAUCAAGAUGGCCGGCUUGCCUCAGUGAGGGGGGCUACAGCCAAAGAAUUCUCAUAGGCAACGUAGGGGCCCAACCAGGUCGUCAAUCUCACCAGAGCUUAGCAAUGCUCCGCAAACAAUUGCUGCGAGCGUUGUAGCAUAGACAGAGUUAGAUGCUAAGAUUUACGAGGUAUGCAGUUCAAAGCACAGUAGAGAUGAGGGCUCAAAUGGUGGGCUAAUGCAGCCUUUAGAAGUAUUACACAGUGUAUGAAGUUUUUGCAGGACAUUACCCCUCUGUUACCACCGGACCUUCAUCUUCAUGCAGCGAAAGCUUUUAUGGAUGAAUAAUAUAAUUUUUUAAUAUUA